CAGUCGCCGCGGGAAUACGUAGGGUGCAAGCGUUAAUCGGAAUUACUGGGCGUAAAGCGUGCGCAGGCGGUUAUAUAAGACAGAUGUGAAAUCCCCGGGCUCAACCUGGGAACUGCAUUUGUGACUUUAUAGCUAGAGUACGGCAGAGGGGGAUGGAAUUCCGCGUGUAGCAGUGAAAUGCGUAGAUAUGCGGAGGAACACCGAUGGCGAAGGCAAUCCCCUGGGCCUGUACUGACGCUCAUGCACGAAAGCGUGGGGAGCAAACAGGAUUAGAUACCCCCGUAGUCCCUGUCCCUUAUAC
rnacentral:rRNA from 1 species